rnacentral:rRNA from 1 species
AUCCUGGCUCAGAUUGAACGCUGGCGGCAGGCCUAACACAUGCAAGUCGAGCGGUAGAGAGAAGCUUGCUUCUCUUGAGAGCGGCGGACGGGUGAGUAAUGCCUAGGAAUCUGCUUGGUAGUGGGGGAUAACGUUCGGAAACGGACGCUAAUACCGCAUACGUCCUACGGGAGAAAGCAGGGGACCUUCGGGCCUUGCGCUAUCAGAUGAGCCUAGGUCGGAUUAGCUAGUUGGUGAGGUAAUGGCUCACCAAGGCGACGAUCCGUAACUGGUCUGAGAGGAUGAUCAGUCACACUGGAACUGAGACACGGUCCAGACUCCUACGGGAGGCAGCAGUGGGGAAUAUUGGACAAUGGGCGAAAGCCUGAUCCAGCCAUGCCGCGUGUGUGAAGAAGGUCUUCGGAUUGUAAAGCACUUUAAGUUGGGAGGAAGGGUUGUAGAUUAAUACUCUGCAAUUUUGACGUUACCGACAGAAUAAGCACCGGCUAACUCUGUGCCAGCAGCCGCGGUAAUACAGAGGGUGCAAGCGUUAAUCGGAAUUACUGGGCGUAAAGCGCGCGUAGGUGGUUUGUUAAGUUGGAUGUGAAAUCCCCGGGCUCAACCUGGGAACUGCAUUCAAAACUGACUGACUAGAGUAUGGUAGAGGGUGGUGGAAUUUCCUGUGUAGCGGUGAAAUGCGUAGAUAUAGGAAGGAACACCAGUGGCGAAGGCGACCACCUGGACUAAUACUGACACUGAGGUGCGAAAGCGUGGGGAGCAAACAGGAUUAGAUACCCUGGUAGUCCACGCCGUAAACGAUGUCAACUAGCCGUUGGAAGCCUUGAGCUUUUAGUGGCGCAGCUAACGCAUUA